rnacentral:rRNA from 1 species
UACGUAGGGCGCAAGCGUUGUCCGGAAUUAUUGGGCGUAAAGAGCUCGUAGGCGGUCUGUCACGUCGGAUGUGAAAGCCCGGGGCUUAACCCCGGGUCUGCAUUCGAUACGGGCAGACUAGAGUGUGGUAGGGGAGAUCGGAAUUCCUGGUGUAGCGGUGAAAUGCGCAGAUAUCAGGAGGAACACCGGUGGCGAAGGCGGAUCUCUGGGCCAUUACUGACGCUGAGGAGCGAAAGCGUGGGGAGCGAAUAGG